rnacentral:rRNA from 1 species
GAUGAACGCUGGCGGCGUGCCUAAUACAUGCAAGUCGAGCGAACGGACGAGAAGCUUGCUUCUCUGAUGUUAGCGGCGGACGGGUGAGUAACACGUGGAUAACCUACCUAUAAGACUGGGAUAACUUCGGGAAACCGGAGCUAAUACCGUAUGAUAUUUUGAACCGCAUGGUUCAAAAGUGAAAGACGGUCUUGCUGUCACUUAUAGAUGGAUCCGCGCUGCAUUAGCUAGUUGGUAAGGUAACGGCUUACCAAGGCAACGAUGCAUAGCCGACCUGAGAGGGUGAUCGGCCACACUGGAACUGAGACACGGUCCAGACUCCUACGGGAGGCAGCAGUAGGGAAUCGUCCGCAAUGGGCGAAAGCCUGACGGAGCAACGCCGCGUGAGUGAUGAAGGUCUUCGGAUCGUAAAACUGUGUUAUUAGGGAAGAACAUAUGUGGAAGGAACUGUGCACAGCGUGACGGUACCUAAUCAGAAAGCCACGGCUAACUACGUG